GAUGAACGCUAGCGGCAGGCUUAACACAUGCAAGUCGAGGGGUAUGGUUCUUCGGAACCAGAGACCGGCGCACGGGUGCGUAACGCGUAUGCAAUCUACCUUUCACAAAGGGAUAGCCGAGAGAAAUUUGGAUUGAUACCUUAUAGUAUAUAAGAAUGGCAUCAUUUUAUAUAAAGAUUAUCGGUGAAGAUGAGCAUGCGUCCC
rnacentral:rRNA from 1 species